AACGAACGCUGGCGGCAGGCUUAACACAUGCAAGUCGAACGCAUCCUUCGGGGUGAGUGGCAGACGGGUGAGUAACGCGUGGGAACGUGCCCUUCAGUUCGGGAUAACCCAGGGAAACUUGGGCUAAUACCGGAUACGUGCGAGAGCAGAAAGAUUUAUCGCUGAAGGAUCGGCCCGCGUCUGAUUAGCUAGUUGGUGGGGUAAUGGCCCACCAAGGCGACGAUCAGUAGCUGGUCUGGGAGGAUGAUCAGCCACAUUGGGACUGAGACAGGGCCCAAAUCCCUAGGGGGGGAAGAAGGGGGGAAUAUUGGACAAGGGGCGCAAGCCUGACCCAGCAAUGCGGCGUGAGUGAGGAAGGCCCUAGGGUUGUAAAGCUCUUUCGCCAGGGACAAUAAUGACGGUACCGGGAAAAGAAGCCCGGGCUAACUUCGUGCCACCCGCCGCGGUAA
rnacentral:rRNA from 1 species